GCGACGCCGCGUGGAGGAUGAAGGUCUUCGGAUCGUAAACUUCUGUCAUGCGGGAGCAAGGUCCGCCGGUUAACUGCCGGUGGAUUGAUAGUACUGCAAGAGGAAGAGACGGCUAACUCUGUGCCAGCACCUCGGUGACUGAGCGGGCUGGCAAGGCGCAUA
rnacentral:rRNA from 1 species